CUCACUGGUCGAGUCGGCCUGCGCGGAAGAUGUAACGGGGCUAAAACUAGUCACCGAAGCUGCGGAUGUGCGCGAAGGCGCACGUGGUAGGGGAGCGUUCUGUAGGCUGAUGAAGGUGCAUUGAGAAGUGUGCUGGAGGUAUCAGAAGUGCGAAUGCUGACAUGAGUAACGAUAAUGUGGGUGAAAAGCCCACACGCCGGAAGUCCCAGGUUUCCUGCACGACGUUAAUCGGAGCAGGGUGAGUCGGCCCCUAAGGCGAGGCUGAAGAGCGUAGUCGAUGGGAACCAGGUUAAUAUUCCUGGACUUUUUAUAAGUGGUGAAGUGGGGACGAAGAAGGCUAGGUGAGCCAGGCGUUGGUU
rnacentral:rRNA from 1 species